CCUCGAUGUCGGCUCAUCGCAUCCUGGGGCUGUAGUCGGUCCCAAGGGUUGGGCUGUUCGCCCAUUAAAGCGGUACGCGAGCUGGGUUCAGAACGUCGUGAGACAGUUCGGUCCCUAUCCGUCGUGGGCGUAGGAAAUUUGAGAGGAGCUGUCCUUAGUACGAGAGGACCGGGAUGGACAUACCUCUGGUGUACCAGUUGUCGUGCCAACGGCAUAGCUGGGUAGCUAUGUGUGGACGGGAUAAGUGCUGAAAGCAUCUAAGCAUGAAGCCCCCCUCAAGAUGAGAUUUCCCAACUUCGGUUAUAAGAUCCCUCAAAGAUGAUGAGGUUAAUAGGUUCGAGGUGGAAGCAUGGUGACAUGUGGAGCUGACGAAUACUAAUCGAUCGAAGACUUAAUCAA
rnacentral:rRNA from 1 species